rnacentral:rRNA from 1 species
CCUACGGGAGGCAGCAGUGAGGAAUAUUGGUCAAUGGCCGGAAGGCUGAACCAGCCAUGCCGCGUGCGGGAUGACGGCGCUGUGCGUUGUAGACUGCUUUUGUCGGGGGAUAAUAGUUCUUACUUGUAGGGAUUUGAGUGUAUCGUACGAAUAAGGAUCGGCUAACUCCGUGCCAGGAGCCGCGGUAAUACGGGGGAUUCGAGCGUUAUCCGGAUUUAUUGGGUUUAAAGGGUGAGUAGGCUGUCGGAUAAGGUAGAGGGUAAAUGCCGGGGCUUAACCCCGUGCCUGCCUCCGAUACGGGUGGACUAGAGUGCGGAUGCAGCAUGCGGAAUGAGCAGUGUAGCGGUGAAAUGCUUAGAUAUUACGCAGAACCCCGAUUGCGAAGGCAGCUUGCCAUGCCGCAUCUGACGCUGAGGCACGAAAGCGCGGGGAUCGAACAGGAUUAGAUACCCCAGUAGUC